GGAGGGGUGCGAGCGUUGUCCGGAAUCACUGGGCGUAAAGGGCGCGUAGGGCGGCACAGUAAGUAGGGUGGGUGAAAUCUCACGGCUCAACCGUGAAACGGCCUCCUAAACUGCUGAGCUCGAGCACGGUAGAGGCAGAUGGAAUUCCCGGUGUAGCGGUGGAAUGCGUAGAUAUCGGGAAGAACACCAGUGGCGAAGGCGGUCUGCUGGGCCGUUGCUGACGCUGAGGCGCGACAGCGUGGGGAGCAAACAGGAUUAGAUACCCUGGUAGUCCACGCCGUAAACGAUGGGUACUAGGCGUCGGGGGGAGCGACCCCUUCGGUGCCGUCGCUAACGCAGUAAGUACCCCGCCUGGGGAGUACGGCCGCAAGGCUG
rnacentral:rRNA from 1 species